rnacentral:rRNA from 1 species
UACGUAGGGGGCAAGCGUUGCCCGGAUUUAUUGGGCGUAAAGGGCGCGUAGGCGGCUCUGCACGUUCGUUGUGAAAUCGCCCGGCUCAACUGGGCGGGGUCAGCGGAUACGGCAGAGCUUGAGCAAGCUAGGGGGCAAUGGAAUUCCCGGUGUAGUGGUGGAAUGCGUAGAUAUCGGGAGGAACACCAGUGGCGAAGGCGGUUGCCUGGGGCUUUGCUGACGCUGAUGCGCGAAAGCGUGGGGAGCGAACAGG